CUGCUCGGUGGUGCUGACGUGCGGCGUGGCGUCACGCGCCGGCGUAGCUCCGCCCUCAGGCAUGGCGACGGUGGUGGCAGCUGUGGUGUGGUCUGGCGUGGCGCGGCCCAGCGCCAUCCGCCGCCAUCCGGGGCCGGGGCUGCUCCCAGGGACGGGGGGCGAACUGAGGUCUCUCUGCGACAGUGCGGCGGGAGGCGCUGCACUGCCAGCGGGCUCCGCCGCCGUGAGGCUCCUGCUCUGAUGCUCCAGAGGACACUCUUGGUACUCCGGAGGAUGGAUGUAGGAAGCUGCCAGGAAUGAGAAGGUUCCUGCUCCAAUGCUCUGGAGGGAUGUAGGAAGCCACUGGGAGUGAGGAGGCAGACAAGCAGCACCUGGCUGUGCAGGUGGAGGGAGGAGCUUCCACCGGAGCACGGGCAGAAGGCAGCACAGUGUGUCCCCCACAGGACUUCCACCGGGGCUUCGUGCCUGGGACCACGAUGCCGCAGCUGCAGGGGGGAACGACACCAGCGUGGGGACCAGCGUGACAGCGCUUCCGGCAGUGCAGCAAGAGCUCUGCCGAGUCCCGCUCAUGAUAUGAGGAGUGGCACAGAUUCAGCCCUGCUAAGAGCCACUGGUGUCGGUGGAUUCAGUAUUAACCCUUGACUUCCCCCCUUGUGACUCUAAACCUUUUUU